rnacentral:tRNA from 1 species
GCCCAAAUGGCGGAAUUGGUAGACGCGCUAGUUUCAGGGACUAGUAGCUGCAAGGCUGUGCAGGUUCGAGUCCUGUUUUGGGCA